AGGCAGCUAGUUAGGUGGCUCAGAGGAUAGAUAGCCAGAUCUGGAGAAGGGAGGUCCUGGGUUUAAAUCUGACCUCAGACACAUCCUAGCUGUGUGACCCUAGGGAAGUCACUUAACCUGAGUUGCCUUCUUUUCUACCUUGGAACUUGUGAAGAUUGGAUUAGACUCUCCCCAGAUUGUAACAAUGAAGCUAGCUUCAGGCAGAAACUGAGUCAGUGCAAUCAAAAAUGGGACGUGCCAAAUACUAAGAGACAGCUUGGAUAAAGUGCCAAAAAAUGGGCUGCCAACUAAUUCAUCGACAAAAUGUUAUAUAACUUCUACAGUGGCCACUAGAAGUUCUCCAAAGAAGACUGGAUGACCACAUGUUAGGUUAAUGAAAGAAAACCACAGAGAAAAAGGAUACAACAAAGUCCUUCAGAGCCACAGAGUCUUGCACUAACUCCAAAGGAGUAAUUGUCCCCAAGAUACUGAUGACAGACUUUUCAGACAACAUGGCCCAUAAUUAUCGAUUUCACCAGCUCCGUGGAUGGCACUACCAUAGAAAGAUGCACACAGAGCUAACAUUUUUAUUUAGACAAGAAUAUUUUCAAUAAAAUGAUUCCAUAGACCAAAAGUUCAAGAUAUUUCUACAAAGCACUCUUAUAUGUACUAAACUGGCAAACUGGGCAAAUCCCUGUUCAUAGAAUACCUGAGUUUCAUCAUGGCAUUUAAGAAAAUGGAGAAGAUAGAAAAACGUGGGUUGGAUUAGAACACAGUUCAUCAGAAUUGGAAUUAGCUAAAUAGGGGCCUAAAUACUGAUGACUAACGAAUUCAUCUACAUGUAGAGGGAGUUCUCUACUGGCAUGCCAAAGGACGGCUCCAUUCUCUUUGACACUUUUAUCAAUGGCUUUUCAUGAAAGCAUAUAGUAUGGUGAUUAAAUCAGUGGAUAAAACAGAGUUGGGAGAGAUCUUAAUAUGAGGGAUGAUAAUUAAUAACAAUCACUUGCAUUUACUUAGCACUUUAAGCCUUACACUUUGCUAAAAAAAAAAAUCAGUGAGAGAUAGGUAAUAUAAUAUUUUCUCCACUUUACAGAUUAAGAAACUGAGGCCCAGGAAGAUAAAGUGAUUUGCCUAAUGCCACACAGAUCAUGUCAGAGCCAAAACUUAAAGCCAAGUCUCUUUUCCUCAGUACCAAAUCACCUCCAGUUAGGAUGAAAAUAGAUCCUAAAAGACUGGAAGAAUGUGCUAUGUGACAGUGAGGCCAAAAGGAUAACUUUUUAAAAGGAUGAAUACAACAUCCUCCACUCUGGUUAAAGGGGGGAAAUCCAAAAUGAAAGAGAGGUGGCAGCACGAAUCACUUGAAUACAGCCCUGAGGAGGCUCAGUGUGUCCAAUCUGAGUCAACAGUAGAAUAUAGCAACCAAAAAAACUUAAUGUGACUUUAGGCUGCAUCAAUAGGAGUCUAGCCAAGAACAAAGGAAGUGGACUCUGCCCUGCCCAGUUCUGAACCCUCAGACUUCAGAGGGACACUGAUGAGAGCAGCAUAGUCAGGGAAUCUGAAAUUUGGAUAAAUUAACCAGAGCUGUUUAGUCUAGAGAAGAAAAGGGAGGGGAGAGGGCACAGAGUGGGGCUACAGAGAAAGGAGGAGUUGAGGAUGUAACUGUAGUUUUCAAGUACUUAUAGGACUGUCAUCUAGAAAGAGUUUCAACUUAUUCUUCUUGGCCCCGAGGCCAGAAAUGAAACCAUUAAGUGGAAUAUUGAAGAAAGUAGAGUUGAACAGUGUAAGGAAGAAUAUUAGAACUAGUUGUCCAAAUCGAAAAUAGUUGCCUAGACAAGUAGCAAGUUACCUGUCAUGUAAAGGAUAGUAAUGUUUCAGGUAAGAAAUGAAAUAAAUGGCUUCUAUAGUCUUUCCUGAGCUUGCAUCUUCUAUUACUUCUAUUACUAACCCCAGUUACUAUGAUACUCCAGUACAUUCUAGCAAUAUUCUAUCUUUAAUUUUUUCUUCCCAAAAGGUAAGAUCCCGAUAGAUCUGUCAAUGAAUUUGAGAGCAAUCAGCUCACACCUGUAUCUAGUAAAUUUCAUAAUCCCAAGUUGAUUCCAAAAAGUUGAGUUGAUUGGCAGAAAAAAAAUUAAUAUUUUACUCCAUUUAGAUUUCCUCAUAUUACUUGAAUCUCAAUGCAGAAAAAAAACCACCUAGUGUGGACAAAAAAAUAACAACCCCCCCCAUCAGAUGUAUGUGAAUUUGUAGAUUGAGUUAAUUACCACAGUCUCCUAAAACUUGAUUGCAAGUUUUAAAAAUUAAACAUGAAGGGUACUUUAGAUGACUGAAAAUUUUAAAUAAUGCCUAUACCAUCCAGCUUAAUGUAUCCAAUAUGCAAUUUUUAUGUGCAAAUUAAUUGAAUUGCCUUCAUGUUCUCUGCUAACUUAAAAGUCACAUAUGGAAUCCAUAUGAGGCAUGGACUCGAAGGCUGUUCAUUCCGAAGCACACUAGUAAUACAUAAUAAAUAUCCAGAGGACUUAUUUAACAUAUGUAACAUUGAUGUUAAUCAAAGUGGCUGAGCCAAAACUGUUUAGUAAAACCAAAUGGGAGAGAAUGCUUUGUGACUUGGAAACAGAGGUAAUAAAUACAUUGUGCACACAUCUUAGCAAUAACACAGGCAAAACACUGAUUUCAUCUUAAUGAUAUGUGUAAAUGUGAAACAGAUGCGUCUUCUCUUCCCUCCUCAGCACACACACCAUGGUUUGCAUCUACAGGGAUUAGGCUGUUUGACCUGUUUGCUUUGCCACAGGCAGUCUACACGAGAAAACUAGAGGGUGGUAUUUUUAGAAAGCCACCUGUUUGUGUCCGUGUAUCAGACAUAUGUGGCCAAGACAGGCAUUCAGAGCCACACUUUCCCACUGGACACCUUCACCACUGUCUUAAUUGGGGGGGGGGGGGGGUGAGGAGAAGCAGAGGGAGGAAAGAGCAGACCCAUGAUUUCACUGGUGCAGAGAACUCCAAUUUGAGGG